AUUUUCCUCUUCCACUCUCAAUCCUCGCAGAUUUGUAUCCUGUGCGCGGGCUGGACUGGUGGGAAAUAUCGGGAAAUUUCCCGAGAAAUCGGUACAAAAUCGGCGAUACAAACCGAAAUUUCGCCGAUAAAUUGCAGCGACUGGGUUUUUGAAGAUUUCGCCGCUUUUUCGCCUGCAGCUGAUUUUUCGGCGAUUUUUCGCCGCUUUUAACCGAAAUUUGGCGAAAUUUCUCCCAUCGGCAUUUCGCGCCCCUCUUUGUAUCGCCGGCCACUGAAACCCGAAAUUUCGGCGAAAAAAAAUGGAAACUUUCAUCCAUGGGCAUAAUAAAGACAAAGUUGAAACAAGGCUUGAUAUGUAAGCCAUGGAAAAGGGAGUUGGGCCGAUUGGGCCCAAUAGAGCAAGCCAAGCCAUUGUUGUGGUCCAAAAUAAUAGUGGUCCGAUUCACUAGGAACUAGACGGUUCGUCCGAUCUGGUGGUUGGAUCGCCGGUUUGAACGGUUCGGUCCCGAUCCAAAGCAAUAACGGCUCAAUGAUAUGAACCGGAUUGGAAGAUGCAAAUUUUAGAAAAAAUGCCAUUAGUUUUUCCUUAAUAUUAACACUAUAAGAUCUUUGUGAUUAUCAUUUUUGGGUUCA